AAAAAACAGCAAUCAAAAAACAAAAAAACUAGUGCUUUCCUGUUGAAGACAAUCAAGAGGCCUCUACCCUUAAAGACAACACUCACUCUCCUUCAAGAUCUGUCCCCACCUCCCUUCCUAGACAGCAGAUAAAUAUCAAAGUUAAGUCAGUAUAAACCAACAGGGGAGUUUUGGGCUUGCUCAGGAGGAAAGGUAAAAUACUCUGAAAGUUCUGUAGAACUUAGCUAACGUGGACCUUAAAAGCUAAGAGGGUGUCUGUAAGACUUAACUCUGGAAGUCCUUGAUCCAGGGACGGAGAUAGAACACAAACUUGGAUAAGGGAGUGUUUAGCAAUGUGAGUGUACCCUCCUGGGAUACAGGUUUUAAUGCCCUGGCAAGAACCCUGGGAGAAGGUGUUGAGACUCUGCUAAAAUGACUCUUAGACACUUGGAGAAAGUGACAGCCCACACUUAAGUGAAGUGGAAAUACUAGAAUUGUCAUGCCAGGCAGUGGAAAAAGGGGUCAAUAGGAUUAAGGAAAUGCACAUGAUAGAAUGAAUGGACUAUAUAAGCCUUGCAAACCCACCAGAUGACUGUCUUGCAGGAAGGCCAAAGCAAUAAAGAAUAGCCUGGUGAGAGCAAUCAGCACCUCUGAGCCAUCUGCAGUGGCUUUCCUCUGAAAGGCAGGGCUGAUGUUGUUACAUAACUGGGCUUAUUAAUAGCAGUGGGAAUAAAGGGUACCAAAAUAAUAGAGACCAGGUGGUAGUGCUCAACCAUCAGAAGCCAAGAGGUGCAGUUAUCUUAAUGAGCAGCAAGGUCAGAGAUGUAUCCAGGGGAGCCUCAUGGGCACUGAGAUAGGAGAUGGCAUCUCUAGAGGCAAUGUAGUUGCACAGCCAGCAAAAGUAUUGCUCAAUCUAUUGUAUUAAGCAGGGUUUGCCAGAGAGACAGAACCACUAGGACAUAUACUUAGAUAUAUGAGAGGAGGUUUAUUAGGGCAAUUGGCUCAUGUGAUGGUGGAGGCCAUCUGCAAGCUGGAGAACCAAGGAAGCUGGUAGCAUAGCUCAGUCCAAGUCCAAAGGCCUUGGACCAGGGAUCCAGGGAUAUGGCAGAUCUUCCGCACCUGGUCUACCAACUCACACUCUAAUCUCCUGACGAAAUAACUUCACAGAUACACCCAGAAAUAAUGCUUUACC
rnacentral:lncRNA from 10 species